rnacentral:rRNA from 1 species
UAGGGAAUCUUCGGCAAUGGACGGAAGUCUGACCGAGCAACGCCGCGUGAGUGAAGAAGGUUUUCGGAUCGUAAAGCUCUGUUGUUAGAGAAGAACGUUGGUAGGAGUGGAAAAUCUACCAAGUGACGGUAACUAACCAGAAAGGGACGGCUAACUACGUGCCAGCAGCCGCGGUAAUACGUAGGUCCCGAGCGUUGUCCGGAUUUAUUGGGCGUAAAGCGAGCGCAGGCGGUUCUUUAAGUCUGAAGUUAAAGGCAGUGGCUUAACCAAUGUACGCUUUGGAGACUGGAGGACUUGAGUGCAGAAGGGGAGAGAGGAAUUCCAUGUGUAGCGGUGAAAUGCGUAGAUAUAUGGAGGAACACCGGUGGCGAAAGCGGCUCUCUGGUCUGUAACUGACGCUGAGGCUCGAAAGCGUGGGGAGCAAACAGG